rnacentral:rRNA from 1 species
AUGUCCAAUAAUGUUGUGACAAGUGUUCGAACAAGUGAUGUCGACACCGAUGACUUCCCGAUUAAGAUAGGACUGCAUCAGGGGUCAGCUUUGAGCCCUUAUCUUUUUGCAUUGGUGAUGGAUGAGGUCACAAGGGGUAUACAAGGAGAUAUCCCAUGGUGUAUGCUCUUUGCGGAUGAUGUGGUGCUAGUUGACGAUAGUCGGACGGGGGUAAAUAGGAAGUUAGAGUUAUGGAGACAAACCUUGGAAUCGAAAGGGUUUAGGCUUAGUAGAACUAAAACCGAGUACAUGAUGUGCGGUUUCAGUACUACUAGCUGUGAGGAGGAGGAGGUUAGCCUUGAUGGCCAGGUGGUACCUCGGAAGGACACCUUUCAGUAUUUGGGGUCAAUGUUGCAGGAGGAUGGGGGUAUUGAUGAAGAUGUUAACCAUCGAAUCAAAGCCGGAUGGAUGAAGUGGCGCCAAGCUUCUGGCAUUCUCUGUGACAAGAGAGUGCCACAAAAGCUAAAAGGCAAGUUCUACAGGACGGCGGUUCGACCCGCAAUGUUGUAUGGCGCGGAGUGUUGGCCGACUAAAAGGCGACAUGUUCAACAGUUAGGUGUGGCGGAGAUGCGUAUGUUGAGAUGGAUGUGUGGCCACACGAGGAAGGAUCGAGUCCGGAAUGAUGAUAUAUGA